rnacentral:rRNA from 1 species
AAUCUUGAUGCUCGAUCUUACCGGAGCAUCCGCCCGAGAACUACGAGCACAAACGCUUAAAACUCUAAGGACUUGGCGGUGCUCCAAACCCACCUAGAGGAGCCUGUUCUAUAACUCGAUGAUCCACGAUAUACCUGACCAUUCCUUGCCAAAACAGCCUAUAUACCGCCGUCGCCAGCCCACCCCGCAUGAAGGACCAACAGUGGACGCAAUAGCCCUACCCCGCUAAUAAGACAGGUCAAGGUAUAGCCUAUGGAAUGGAAGCAAUGGGCUACAUUUUCUAGACUAGAACACAACGGCAAAGGGACAUGAAACUGUCCUUGGAAGGCGGAUUUAGCAGUAAAGAGAGACAAUCGAGCCCUCUUUAAGCCGGCCCUAGAGCACGUACAUACCGCCCGUCACCCUCCUCAAAAGCGACCCC